ensembl:lncRNA
CACGUAUUAUGUGUGCCUAUACAUAGGGUGUCCACCUGUGACUGUGCAUAUAUUCUGUUGUGUGUGUGUCUGUGUGUGUGUGUGUGUGUGUCUGUGUGUCUGUGUGUGUAUGUGCCCUGAGGGUGAAAUCACUCAACACUGUGCUAACAGAAAAGCUGAUGAGAAGCAGACAUGCAGUCAGUGUUGGAAUGCUGUAAUGUCGUUAACCGAUCAACUCUGUGUGCUUCAGUUACAGCAACAGGUGUAUGAUCCUCUGAUAACGUGUGUGUGUGUGUGUGUGUGUGUGUGUGUGUGUGUGUAAAACACUAUCUCAUGUGAGGGGUAUUGUGUUCACUUGUCUGCUGAUGUAGGCCCCUGGGGGAAAGAUUUUCUUGAGCAGUUUAUUUACGUGAGCUGCUCUUUAAUGUGUUGUGAUGAGAGUAUCCGUUCAUCUUUAGAAGUCUAGUUUUUAUGUAAAUGAGAACACACUAAUAAUACUUACAGUACAUUUUCAGUUAUUUACAUUUACAUGUUGUGGACCUUGUCCCUACUUUGCUUUCCGCCAAUCGGCAUCCACAAACUCAAAACGUCACUCAUUACAUGUGUUUAUUUGACAUUAAAUUAUUUUUUUGUAUUUUCAUGAAGAGUGCCAAUAAAUCAAAAAUGGACUGUCUUUCUACAUUAAUAUUAGCACACUAAUCCUCGAACGUAAAACAAAUGCUUCCUAAGUGUUUCAUUUUGUACAGUACAUUUCUGAUAUAGUGGGGCAUCACUGUGGUGGGUUGUGGGUUCGAAUCCCACCUCCGCUCUGUGUGUGUGUGAAGUUCGCGUGUUCUCCCAGUGUUUCGGGGGUUUCCUCCGGGUACUCCGGUUUCCUGCCCCAGUCCACAGACAUGCGUUGUUGGCUGAUUGGCAUGUCCAAAUUGUCCAUAGUGUGUGAAUGUGUGUGCGAAUUUGUGUGCGAUUGUGUCCUCAGAUGUUUUGGCACUCCAUCCAGGAUGUCCCCCGCCUUGUGCUCCGAGGUCCCCGUGAUAGGCUCCAGGGUCCGUCACGACCCUGUGCAGGAUAAGUGGUACGGAAAAUGGACGGUUGGAUGAAUAUAUAGAGAGCUUGUGAGUUAUUGAUGGACUGUGAUGGUUGAUGUGAGAUAGACGGAUCACCGGAUCACGAGUGUGUGUGGGGAGCUACAAUAAAAGGCUGUGUAAUGGAGUGAUGCUGAUGGAAAGAUUUGGGAUAAAAUCAGAAUAAAAUCUUUUCAUCAGACUUUCUGUAUUUUCUGUGUGUGUGUGUGUGUGUGUGUACUGUAUGAUCGUUGCCACAUACCAAUGUCAGUAUUCUUAAUCUGUAUUUAAAAGCAAAACAUGUUUAUCCGUUUACAUGUGUUAGUGCAGACUUUAUCUUAAGACCUGUUAUCCAGUCCUUCCUAUCUUAUGUUGUGGAAUGUCCGCAAAACCAUCUGGCUCCUGUUAUCACUUACGCUACAGCAUCUAUAAACAGUUGUUCCCUCUCUUCUUUCUCUCUCUCUCUCCCUCUCUCUCUCUCUCUCUCAAUGUUAAUAAGACACCAAGAAAACAUAGAAUGCAACUGUCGUGUUACACAGGAACUACAAAGCGCAAAGUCCUCUGUCCAGAAGAUUUUUCCGUGGUUUAAAACUGACCGGCUGACCAGUGUGCUGACACUGGAGACUCCUUCCGUAAAUGUUAAAUAAGCUUUAUUUCAAUUUAUAAGCUCUCGAAUGACUUUGUUUUUCAUGUAUGUGGUUUGGAGCGAAGAAAAAUCAUAAUUUUCAAAAUCUGGGUUUUUCUGUGUGUUUAUAUAGUGCGUUUAAGUGAAUGUUACGGACUUUAAAGAUCUAGGGGAAUAGAACGUAACACUCAGAUAUUACAUUGCUGCAGGAGGGGAGCGGGUGGACAGGAAUUACCAUGACGCAUAGGAACAAGUGCAAAACAAAAAUACAUUUUACUAACAACAAGCCAAAUCCACUAUAUCAAUAUGCAGUAUGAGCGAUUUACAGUAGCUAUAUUUAAUAAAGACAAAGAAGGGGGAAAACGAAAAUAAACAGCACAGGGAAAAGGAACCUGAGUGGCGCCAAAUAAAAAAAAAACAAAAAACGAAUCAACACCAAACAGGUAAUUCCCUUAGGUCUAAUUCUCAAUCCCUUUAAUGUACCUAGCACAAACUAAAUGCAGGAAACAAGAAAAGAAAAGAAAACCCGAAAAAAAAGAAUUCUUAGUUCAUAGCGGCUAGGUUGUGCUGUAAAAAAAAAUUAAGGUACUAGAUACUUGCAUGGUAGACGUUUUUGAAGGCAUACAAAAUUGCCAAAAUAGCCAUAACCUUCCAAAGGUUA